rnacentral:rRNA from 1 species
AUUACCGAGUUAUUACUCCAAACCCUUUGUGAACCUUACCUUUUUUGUUGCUCGGCGCCUCGCGGGCCGCGGGCUUCGGCCCGUCCCGCAGGGCGCCAGAGGACCCAACUCUUCCAUUUUACAGUUUACCUUCUGAUUUACCAAACAAACAAUUAAAACUUUCAACAACGGAUCUCUUGGUUCUGGCAUCGAUGAAGAACGCAGCGAAAUGCGAUAAGUAAUGUGAAUUGCAGAAUUCAGUGAAUCAUCGAAUCUUUGAACGCACAUUGCGCCCGGCAGUAUUCUGCCGGGCAUGCCUGUCCGAGCGUCAUUUCAACCCUCGAGCCGCUUUUAGUGGAUCGGUGUUGGGGUACUACGGUAAAACGUAGGCCCUGAAAUGAAGUGGCGGUCCCGCCGCGGCGCCCCCAUGCGUAGUAACGUCUAGUCUCGCAUCGGGUCCCGGCGGAGGCCUGCCGUCAAGCCUAAUUCUUACUCAGAACAGUUUGACCUCGGAUCAGGUAGGGUUACCCGCUGAACUUAAGCAUAUCAAUAAGCGGAGGAAAAGAAACCAACAGGGAUUGCCCUAGUAACGGCGAGUGAAGCGGCAACAGCUCAAAUUUGAAAUCUGGUCCCUCGGGGCCCGAGUUGUAAUUUGCAGAGGAUGCUUUUGGCGCGGUGCCUUCCGAGUGCCCUGGAACGGGACGCCACAGAGGGUGAGAGCCCCGUAUGGUUGGACACCAAGCCUAUGUAAAGCUCCUUCGACGAGUCGAGUAGUUUGGGAAUGCUGCUCAAAAUGGGAGGUAAACCCCUUCUAAAGCUAAAUACUGGCCAGAGACCGAUAGCGCACAAGUAGAGUGAUCGAAAGAUGAAAAGCACUUUGAAAAGAGAGUUAAAAAGCACGUGAAAUUGUUGAAAGGGAAGCGUUUGCGACCAGACUUGCGCCCGUCGGAUCAGCCGUCCCUCGUGGGCGGUGCACUCCGGCGGGCUCAGGCCAGCAUCAGUUCGCUGCAGGGGGAGAAAGGCGGCGGGAAUGUGGCUCUUCGGAGUGUUAUAGCCCGCCGCGUAAUACCCCUCGGCGGACUGAGGACCGCG